GGACUGAGCUGGGACUGAGCUGGGACUGAGCUGGCACUGAGCUGGGACCGAGCUGGGACUGAGCUGGGACCGAGCUGGUACCGAGCUGGGACUGAGCUGCCAGCCCCGGAGCCACAGCACUGCCUCCGUGUGUCAGCCGCCUGCCAAUGGAACCCAGCACGCUGAGAGAGAAGAGCCCUCGCUGAUGGAGGAGAUGCCCUUUCUCAGCCUGAUGCCCCAAGAUCUCCUCUCUGAUUACGAGGACAGCAGUGUCAUUCAGGAAGUGCGAAGAGAAUUAGAAAGCCUGGAGGACCAAGCGGGUUGGAAGCCUGAGCCUGACUCAGCUCAGGAGCUGGUUUUGGGAGAUGAAAUCUAAAGCCCAAGCACCAGUCUAGUUAGUUAUUUCUAGAUUUUUUUCUGUUUAGUGUCUUGCUUGUUUGAACCCUGAUCACACACUGCUGGAUAGAAGUGCAAUAAACAAGGCCUGCAAGGAGCAUCCUUCUCUCUGUCCCAGCUGCUGUGGAGUCCAUGCAGUGCCUGGACCAAAGCUCCUGCCACAGGGGAACCCCACGAGUGCCCUGCUGGAUUUGUACUUUCCCCCUGUAUGUCAGAAAUAAACUUCUCAGUACUUGUACUCAUUAAAAAAUGCACACAGGCAUAAAUCAUUUUCAAUUA